rnacentral:rRNA from 1 species
UAGCUGCAGUAUUUUGACUGUACAAAGGUAGCAUAAUCAUUAGUCUUUUAAUUGAAGGCUUGUAUGAAUGGUUUGACGGAAAAUAAUCUUUUUUAUCACUAUAUUUAUUGAAUUUAAUUUUUGAGUUAAAAAGCUUAAAUUUUUGAAAGGGACGAUAAGACCCUAUAGAAUUUAAUAAAAUAUUUGAUUGUAUUUGUUUAGUUGGGGUGAUUAAUAAUUAACUUUAUUUAAAAUUUCAUGUAUAUGUGAAUCAAUGAUCCUAAAUUUUAGAUAAAAAGAUAAAAUUACCUUAGGGAUAACAGCAUAAUUUUUUUUAAAAGAUCUUAUUAAUAAAAAAGAUUAUGACCUCGAUGUUGAAUUAAGAUAAUAUCUAGGUGUAGAAGUUUAGAUGUUAAGUCUGUUCGACUUUAAUUUUUACAUGAUUUGAGUUCAAACCGGCGUGAGCCAGGUUGGUUUCUAUCUUUUCAUAUUU